UGUCCGAUUUCAUGUAUCAAAGGAUUUGAUGUAUCACAACCUCAUUGAUACAUAUAACUCCCUCUUCCCUGUUUUUAAUCUCACAUUUCUUCAAAACCCUAGAAUUUUCAUUUCAAGGUUCUGUCACCAAGGGAGAGAGGUGAGAAAAUGGUCGUUCCAAAAGAUGUGCGCCAAAAUACGCCCGUCAAAAUUGGGGCAACUGCAGGCCUGAGACAGUUGGGAGUUGAUGCAUCUGAAAGAAUUAUGCAAGCUGAGUCACUACCUAUGGAGAUGUUUUGUUGUUUAUGGUACUUUUUGCUGUCAUACUCACUGUCUCAUUCAA